rnacentral:rRNA from 1 species
UACGUAGGUGGCAAGCGUUAUCCGGAAUUAUUGGGCGUAAAGCGCGCGUAGGUGGCCUCAUAAGUCCGCUGUGAAAGUCAAAGGCUCAACCUUUGAAAGCCGGUGGAUACUGUGAGGCUAGAGUACGGAAGAGGCGAGUGGAAUUCCUGGUGUAGCGGUGGAAUGCGCAGAUAUCAGGAGGAACACCAAUAGCGAAGGCAGCUCGCUGGGACGUUACUGACACUGAGGCGCGAAAGCGUGGGGAGCGAACAGG